AGUGAUUUAAAUAACAGAAAUUUAUUAUCUCAGUUCUAGAGGCUGGAAGUCUGAGAUGAAAGUGUCAGAAGGGCUGGCUCUUCCUGAGGCCUCUCUCUGUGGUUUGCGGACAGCCACCUUCUCCCUGUGUCCUCACAGGGCCUUUCCUCUGGGCACACACAUCCCUGGUGUCUCUUUCUCUUUUCUUAUAAGGACGCCAGUCCUAUUGGAUUAGAGCCCCCUGCUUAUGACCUAAUGUAAUGUUGAUUACCUCCUCCUAUCUCCAAAUACAGUCACACUGGGGUUAGGGCUGUAGUAACUCUUGCCUGUAAUCCCAGCUACUAGGGAGGCCCAGGCACGAGGAUCACUUCAGCCCAGGAGUUCAAGUCUAGCCUGGGCAACAUAGUGAGAGGCCGUUUCCUAAAAAAAAAAAAAGGGUUUUUUCGUUUUUGUUUUUGUUUUUUUUUUUUUUUCGAGAAGGAGUCUUGCUCUGUUGCCCAGGCUGGAGUGCAGUUUCUCAAUCUCGGCUCACUGCAACUUCCGCCUCCUGGGGUUCAAGCGAUCCUCUUGCCUCAGCCUCCUGAGUAGCUGGGAUUACAGGUGCCGGCCACCACACCCGGCUAAUUUUUGUGUUUUUAGUGGAGACAGGGUUUCGCCAUGUUGGCCGGGCUGGUCUCAAACUCCUGACCUCAUGUGAUCCACCCGCCUCGGCCUUCCAAAGUGCUGGGAUUACAAGUGUAAGCCACUGCGCCCGGCCAAGAGUGAAGUUCUGAUAGCUGGGGUAAGAAAGGCCGUGGGAACAGCCGGUUUCAGACACGCUGGGUCUAAGACGCUGCGUCUGGCGCUGCUCGGCAUCCAAUGGGAGCCGUGGAGAAGCCAGGCGAGUGCGUAGGGCGGAGCCAGCGCACAGGAAAUAGGACGUGAUGAGGUCAACCGGCUGGUCCAAGUGUGGACGGAAGUAGAGGAUGCAAGCACCGAGCCCCGGGGCCCCCAGCAUUGGCGGGGAGGAGCUCGCGGUGCGGGAGAAGCAGGGGACCGCGCAUCCUGGAGACCAGGUGGAGCCAGUGCGCCCGGAAGGGGCGUGGCCCGCUGACAGCCGCCCAGGAGGCCGGGGGAGGCCUGGAGCCGAGGGCCGCGCGUGGCAAUGUGGAGAGACAUUUUGGUGGAGUCAUGGGGCCACAGCCUGAUUGGUGAGAACAGGAAGGGAAAUUGCAGAUGGGCCUGGGCCCCCUGGCUCCCGCAUACUCCAGGACCAGGGCUGAGUCAUCGUUCACCGUGUGUGACCAGGGCCCCGUGUGGCCGGCUGUCACUCGGUAUCCAGUUACCCUGGGCAGACCACUGGCGGCACCCCCCAGCCAGAGGCCGCAGCAACACACACGCCUGCAGGCGACCAGGCCGGACUGCAUGCCCCGUGGGGGAACUGAGGGCGUUUCAGUAACAGAGUGUUAGGGGACACGGGUUGGGUGGCUUGGAAAGGGCCUAAGGUGGGGUUUGUUUUAGAUUGGGGUGGUGAGGGCGCAGGGGCCCGGUAGGAUUCUCUAACAGGGCAGCAGCCACUCAUUUAGCAACAGGAGAGGCGUCCAGCGUUUCGUGGGCUGUGCGGUGACCUUGCUUUUGUGCUUAGACACGAUUACGGGUGGCCUUGCUUCAUCUCCUUCUGCCAUGGUCUCGUGGCCCCUGUCUCAGCUGGCGUUCCGGGAGGUUGUUUACGUCCAGGAGGAAAGCAAAAGCCUGGCCCUGAGCAUCAGGGUGGCUCUGGACGCCAGGGCUGUACUGUGUUCUUUCUCGACACGAAUGAGUUUCUGGACAGUUUUCCCGGCUAGUGCAGACCCACACUGACUGAAAACCGAAAUCUUUGCACAUGAGAAAAAUAACUCCCAUGGCAAGGCGUGGCGGCUCACACCUGUAAUCUCAGUGCUUUGGGAGGCCAAGGCAGGAAGAUCGCUUGAGGCCAGGAGUUCGAGGCCAGCCUGGGCAACAUAAGGAUACCCUGUCUGUACAAAAAUAACAGAUUAAAAAAAAAAAACAAAAUAACACCCAUGGUGCAGCCAUUUCUUGGGGGGUUAUGGUAAUUUUAGUAGCAAUCAUCUAAGAAGAGGUUUUGUUUCCUCAACCCGAAUGCGCUCCCUUUCCUCAAGGCUCUGAGAGCAGCAGGAAGGCUCACCUUCCUUGUUUAGUGAGGUGUUAACCUUCCUGGGUUCACCCCGGUGCAACGGUUUGUGUCAUGCAUCAACUUGGCUGGGCCACGGCGCCCGGUUUGGUCAAACGCCCAUCUGGAUGUUGUCGUGGACAGCUGUGUAGAUGUGAUUCGUAUUUAGGUCAGUAGACUUUUAAAGCUGGUGACCUUCCGUCGUGUGGGUGGGUCUUGUCCGGUCAGCCAGAGGCCUUAAGUUCAAAGACUAAGCUUUCCUGAAGAAGAAGGAAUUGCACCUCCCUCAAGACUGCAAUACAGAAACCCUGCCUGGGUAUCCAGCAUGCCGCCCUGCAGAACUUGGACUUGAGACCUCAGUCAGCUCUUGCCUGAGUCUCCAGCCUGCCGCCUGCCCUGCAGAUUUUGGAAGUGACAACCCCCACAAUUGCCCGAGCCAAUUUCUUCAAAUAAAUCUCUUUCCCUCCAUCCAUCCAUUCAUCCUUCUGUCCACCUAUCCUAUCGGCUCUGUUCUGUGGGUUCUGUUCCUCUGGGAACCCUGACAGAUGCCCCUGGUUUGGUGGGUGUCAUGGUCUCUGGUGCUGGUGCUACACCCUGUUGCUGCCCUGGCCAGAAGCCUGCAGGUGCCUCUGAGCCCACGGAAGCUAAGGGGGCCGUUUCCAAGGGGCCGCAUUCCCCGCCUCUCUGCUCUUGGGGCUUCGGUCCAUUCGGCCCGCGUGAGAGCUAGGAGUGCCACAGUCGACAUCCUCAGUGGGCCGUGCUGCUCAGGAACCAAAGGCAAACCAGCCUUGUCCUCACGCCCAGAGCUGUGUCCAGCCUCCUCGGCGAGCCUGGGUUGAUUCCAGGAGAGACUAAGCACCCACUGUGUCCCACGCCUUCAGCCACGUCGCCCGUCACCUGCGGCCUGAGUGUUCCCUUCCAGAGGGCGUGAAAAACAAUUGUCUGCUGAGAGGUCUUUGAAGGGGAAACAAGUGCCCGGGGCAGGCCAGGACCGCAGACUGGAUCUUGAGGACUGGCAGCGCAGUGUUUUGUGCAGAAAAGCUAAGGGAGAUGUUACGUGCUCAGACCACACGAAGCGGGCAGCAUCGUGGCGGGCUUAGCCCGGGCACUGCCUCUCGAAGCUUCCAGGAGCUUCCUGUAACUUUCCGGAUGGUGCCGCAGCUGCUUCCCCGGCACCCGGGUCGCCGGGGUUCUGACUGCAGAGGGUUUCUGUGCGGGGUGCGGGGUCCACUCAGGUGAAGCACUCAGGACACCCCUGGUGUGGUGACAGCAGCAGCGUCACUGUCACGGGUGAUGCGGCAACAGCUCCUCUCCCUCCUCCAGCACUGGCCUAGGAACUGUUCAUUCUUCUGAACACAGCGAAUGCCCAGGGCUUGAGCCCCCCUUGCCUGCCUCCAGUCAUUUCUGGGUCAGGUGGGCUAAGAACAAACACACAGUGAGUGUCGAGUCUUGCCCGGUGACUGACUGCAGAAGCCUCUGUGUGGCUUCGCUCCCGGAUGUCUGAAGGCCCCUCCCUGGGCUGCACGGCGGCUCCUGCGGGGCACUGCGGGAAGAGCCCCAGCUCUCCAGCUAAACCUGUGGGAUGCGGCCAUGGUGAGAAAAGGAAACGACCAUCUUCACGCUGACACUGAGCAAAGAAAAGAUAAAACUCAUAGCAAAUUUACCAUGUUAGAUUUACAAACGUUAGCAGUGGAAUAAAUCCAGAGGAAAGAACAAAAGAAAGAUUCGAGACCAGCCUGGCCAGCAGGGUGAAACCCCAUCUUUACUAAAAAUACAAAAAGUAGCCGGG
rnacentral:lncRNA from 1 species